AGGGCAAGUCUGGUGCCAGCAGCCGCGGUAAUUCCAGCUCCAAUAGCGUAUAUUAAAGUUGUUGCAGUUAAAAAGCUCGUAGUUGAAUUUCGGGAUCAAUAUUUCGGUCAUGCCGUUGGUAUGCACUGUUAUCAUUGAUUUCUCACCUUCUAAAGAACCGUAAUGCCAUUAAUUUGGUGUUACGGGGAAUUAGGACUGUUACCUUGAAAAAAUUAGAGUGUUUAAAGCAGGCUCACGCUUGAAUACAUUAGCAUGGAAUAAUGAAAUAGGACAUCCGAUUCUAUUUUGUUGGUUUCUAGGAUCGAUGUAAUGAUUAAUAGGGAUAGUUGGGGGCAUUAGUAUUCAAUUGUCAGAGGUGAAAUUCUUGGAUUUAUUGAAGACUAACUACUGCGAAAGCAUUUGCCAAGGAUGUUUUCAUUAAUCAAGAACGAAAGUUAGGGGAUCGAAGACGAUCAGAUACCGUCGUAGUCUUAACCAUAAACUAUGCCGACUAGGGAUCGGAUGA
rnacentral:rRNA from 1 species